rnacentral:rRNA from 1 species
UACAGAGGGUGCGAGCGUUAAUCGGAAUUACUGGGCGUAAAGCGUGCGUAGACGGUUAUUUAAGUCGGGUGUGAAAUCCCCAGGCUCAACCUGGGAACUGCAUCCGAUACUGGAUGGCUUGAAUCCGGGAGAGGGAUGCAGAAUUCCAGGUGUAGCGGUGAAAUGCGUAGAUAUCUGGAGGAAUACCGGUGGCGAAGGCGGCAUCCUGGACCGGCAUUGACGCUGAGGAGCGAAAGCCAGGGGAGCAAACGGG